GAUCCUGGCUCAGGAUGAACGCUAGCUACAGGCUUAACACAUGCAAGUCGAGGGGCAGCAUGGUCUUAGCUUGCUAAGGCCGAUGGCGACCGGCGCACGGGUGAGUAACGCGUAUCCAACCUGCCUUACACUCUUGGACAGCCUUCUGAAAGGGAGAUUAAUACAAGAUGUUAUCAUGAGUAAGCAUUUUCACACGAUUAAAGGUUUACCGGUGUAAGAUGGGGAUGCGUUCCA
rnacentral:rRNA from 1 species